UUCUUUUCCGGAAGCUCAUCCUCAAAGAACUCCGGGGUUAAGCGUGCUUGGCUCGGAGCAAUUUCGGGAUGGGUGACCGACCGGGAAGUUCUUCCCGGGUGCGCACGAGUGAGGACAAAGUGCGUAGAAAAGACUUGUGUUGGUCUGUGAGGGAAUUCUUGAUAUCCUAGAGAGCUGCCAGGUGUAUGCGGGCCCGGCCCCGGGGGGGCGGGACGCCACAGUUGGUAUCAGAGCCGACUCUCGCGGUUUCACGGGCGCGUGCGGUCGCAGUUGCGCAGGCAUGGUGUGCAUGGCUGGUGUGGACCCAGAGUGGUCACACAGCAUGGCACAUGCGCUGGCACUAGACACACGGACGUGGCCAAGAGGGGACGUUCUUGGCUUGGGGUUGACCGACGAGGGCGUCGGUCUUCUAAGGGGGUGACUAUGUGAAAUCCUAGCCCAAGGUUUAAUAGGAUUGAUAGAAUACUCAUACCAAUAAGUUGCAACUUCUUUUCCGGAAGCUCAUCCUCAAAGAACUCCGGGGUUAAGCGUGCUUGGCUCGGAGCAAUUUCGGGAUGGGUGACCGACCGGGAAGUUCUUCCCGGGUGCGCACGAGUGAGG
rnacentral:lncRNA from 1 species